UUUGUAAACAUUGCGCCCAUGAUCCACACCGACUAGUAACUGUACAGCUGAAGUUGCUAACCUACUGACUCGAGAGGCCGCAGCGUGCAUAAUAUAGGCGGGAAAGUUGCGUUCGAACUGCGAUUCAUUCAGAUCAGCUUGAUCCAUCGUCGUAAGCUGAAGCGGCGUUUACGGACGCAGCCAAAUAAAACGACUCGCAGCAACGGCUUUGAUCUCUUUGUCUCUCUCUCUCUUUCUCUCUGUCUUGGCUCUAGACAAUUCGUUUUGAGUGCGGUGGGAGUAGUUACUGAUCGCCGUUCGGUUCGAGUGAAAAUUGGACCAAGACAAGCGGGCCUGACACUGUCUCUGUACAGAAGAAUCGCGUGUUGUUGAUCAUCUCGAUUUGCUGCUGCAGUCUCGAGAAGCUUCAUCCUCGAUCAGAGGUUUCAGAUUUCAUUUUGAUCGGAAAAUUUUAUGGUCAAAUCGUGUGCAGCGGUCUAGGCAAAGGUCAUUUCGAGGACAAGUCUUGUGGCCCCGUAGUACUACGCACGGUAGUUCGAGGUUAUAAAUAUGGAGAACUUUUGCAAAUUGGAGAAAAUCGGCGAGGGCACCUACGGCGUCGUCUACAAGGCUAAGGAUGUGAUGACGGGCAAGUUUGUUGCUCUGAAAAAAAUACGCUUGGAAACCGAAAGCGAAGGGGUACCAUCUACUGCUAUUAGGGAAAUAUCCCUCCUCAAAGAGCUAGCUCAUCCUAAUGUGAUACAAUUGUUAGACGUCGUUCAAGGAGAUCAACAUUUGUACUUAGUUUUUGAGUUUUUAAAUCAAGACUUGAAGAAACUACUCGAUUCCACCACUAAUGGACUAAGUGCUCCAUUGAUCAAAUCUUACUUAUGGCAGAUGUUGAAAGCUAUCGCAUUCUGUCAUGUGAACCGUAUUUUACACAGAGACUUGAAACCACAAAAUCUUCUGAUAGAUCAUGAAGGAUAUCUUAAACUCGCUGAUUUUGGAUUAGCUCGAUCAUUUGGACUGCCUGUUCGAACAUUUACCCAUGAAGUAGUUACUCUAUGGUACAGAGCACCAGAAAUUUUAUUAGGCUCUAAAUUAUAUUCAACCGCUGUUGAUGUGUGGAGUCUUGGUUGCAUAUUCACUGAAAUGGGUAAUAAAAAAGCUCUCUUUCCUGGUGAUUCAGAAAUAGAUCAGUUAUUUAAAAUCUUUCGCAUUUUGGGCACACCUGAUGAGUCUGUAUGGCCAGGAGUGUCACAACUAGAAGACUAUAAAUCUAUGUUUCCAAAAUGGGAACCUAAGGAUUUGGACGAAAUUGUUCCUACGUUUGAUGAAAAUGCCAGAGAUUUGUUUAAAAAACUUCUCACUUAUGAUCCAAAUACGAGAAUCUCAGCUAAACAAGCAUUAAGUCAUCCUUAUUUUGACGGAGUUAAAAUCGUUCGUCCUCCUAUCAAACAGAUUGAUGAUCAUAAUAACAGUGAAGAGUAAAGUAAUUUAUAUUAUUCAUUGACGAUUUAAUUAAGUACAAUUAUAUUGUACAUAAUUUAGAAACUCAAUUUUUGAAAAAAUUUAAAACUAGUUCUAAUUUGCAAUCAGUCAGAAAAGUUUUAUAUAUGAGAUAAUUAUCAUUUAAUUAAAGAAAUUUCAUAAGCUGUAUCUAAGACUGUACAAACUGCUAUUAGUAUAAACUUGGUGAAUGAUAAUUCAGUAGAUUUUUGAUUAGCAGUUUUUUGAUAAAGCUGUCGUUGAAGAAUCUAUGAGAAAACGUCGAUCCUCAGUUGGUGUAGGUGGUGGCGUUCGUAGCUCAUCAGCGCGUCGAAUUCCAUCGCUUAGAGAUAAUUUUAUAUGACUAAAUCGAAGUUGGUGUUUAAUCUAAACAAGAUUCAUAUUCAGUUAGACUCGAGAUCUCAAUUUAAUCAUUAUACGUCAGAUGUAAUAUGCUGAAAAAUUAGAUAAAAGAGGACUCUUUUCAUGUAAGAACCUGAGUAGUACAACUUUGACUCAAUACAAAUGUUUGAUAGUUUAUUUUUUUUCAGCAUACAUAUAAAUAAUAUUUCGAUUAAAUUUACUUGUAAAUUCAUCCAUGUAUGUAACAAGUUACAAGUCAGGGUGAUGUGCAAUUGUGACUGGAAAUUAUAUUUACUUGCUUUUCUAAAAUUUGGCAAUCGUCCAAAGUAUACAAAUGAUAUUUUUUGAUUCUUUAUUAAAAAUAAAACUCCCAAAUUAUGUGCUUGUAAUAUACAUUAAUCGAUGAAUGAAAUUGUACAUAUGCUAAAAUGUGUGUAACAGAAGUAUUUAAUAACUUCUUAUAAAUGUGAAAUAAUUUUUGAAUAAGUAAACAAAAUAUUUGUUACAGUUGUAAACGAUAGUUGUUUGCAAUGUAUUGAUUAAUUUUCUAUUUUUAUGUUGACUUUUUUACCAUUGAUAAUAGAUUGGUAAUAGAACAAAUUGUCACGAUUUUUUUUAUAGGAAAAUUACGAAUAGAAAAAAAUGUUCCAUAAGAUUUACAGUAAAUAAAUGUUGUUAUUAAAAUCAA
rnacentral:misc_RNA from 1 species